rnacentral:rRNA from 1 species
GACGUAGGGCGCGAGCGUUGUCCGGAUUUAUUGGGCGUAAAGAGCUCGUAGGCGGCUCGUUGCGUCGGCUGUGAAAACCCGCAGCUCAACUGUGGGCUUGCAGCUGAUACGGGCGGGCUGGAGUUCGGUAGGGGAGACUGGAAUUCCUGGUGUAGCGGUGAAAUGCGCAGAUAUCAGGAGGAACACCGGUGGCGAAGGCGGGUCUCUGGGCCGUAACUGACGCUGAGGAGCGAAAGCGUGGGGAGCAAACAGG